rnacentral:lncRNA from 1 species
AGAGAGAUAAGGCAGAAACAGAAAGCGGGAGAGGAGAGGGUGAAGGGGGAGAGGGACUAUUUACACUUCCCUUUAGGUUACAGGCACAGAGAAACCUUUAGGCUGAACUUAAAAUAUGUGAGUAGCUUUAAGCUAAACUUGAUUUAACAGGGAAAAACAGGACUUUGCAAAAAUUCUUUUAGGGAGUGUACUAUCGAGCACAUUUGAAGACCACAGGUCUCGAAAGCGGGGAAGACGGGACCCAGAGUCCCCCGCAGCAGCGUCACGGCCCAGCUCUGGUUCUCAAGUUGGGCUGCUGUUUUUCCCCUUUUUCUCAUCCGCCAGGAUGCCAGGCGCUGCUGAAAGCUGCAGCCGAAAGGAUUUAGAAUUCCUUACAACGGAGAAAGGGUCUUUGCUCAGACAACAUGGACUUAAGAGACGGAAGGGCCAAAAAGGCUUGAAAACAGGCUCGAAGAGCGGCUUCCUGGUAGCUAGAAGCUUAAGUGGGGACAGAUGAGCUUAACUGGCAAGCCUGCGUGUGUGCUCUCCAGCCCCCGUGAUUCAGUUUAAAUCUGGGCGGGUCUCCUCAAAGACAGUUCCAGAAGGGGCCACGUGAGGGCAGUAAGAGCCUCUCAAUGCCUGUUUUUGGGGGAAGAGAGAAGUGAGGGCGGAGCGCGGGGAGCGUCCCAGGCCUGGCUACCCGGAUAACUUCCCCAAAAGAAGCUAUGCUCGGGCCUUCCCAUCGUCCCACUCAAGAGCUUUCUUCAUAUUGGUCCCUUGGUUGAAUUCUGUGUUCUGAAGAGGCAAGAAUUGAGGUUGCUGCAGACCUGUAUGGAUUCGCCACCAGUAACAAGAUCUCAGAACACUGGAAAAAUCGAUGCACAAAAAAAAAAGGUU